AUGCCUCACUUUAUUUGUAUGUCAAAUUCUUUUUCCAUGUUUGUGAAGUUUUCUGCCAUUACUUCUGGGAACAGGUUUUUUUAUGGCAUUUGUGCUGUCCCCUGCUUUCUCAUUGACUUCUAUCAAUCUUUUUUUUUUUUUAAAUUGGAAUGUGUCCACUUUAAAUCCUUUUGUGAAGAUCCAUUGGAGGGCAAGUCUGGUGCCAGCAGCCAUGGUAAUUCCAGCUCCAAUAGCAUAUAUUAAAGUUGCUGCAGUUAAAAAGCUUGUAGUUGAGUACUAGGACCCAAGUUCGAUCCCCGGCACCAAAAAAAAAAAAAAAAAGCUUGUAGUUAGAUCUUAGGAGCAGGCAGGCAGUCUGCUUCAAGGCAGGCCAUCACCCAUCCCUGCCCCUUGCCUCUCAGUACCCCCUUGAUGCUCUUAGCUGAGUGUCUCACAGGGCCUGAAGCAUUUACUUUGAAAAAAUUAGUGUUCAAAGCAGGCCUGAGCCACCUGGAUACUGCAGCUAGGAAUAAUGGAAUAGGACCGUGGUUCUAUUUUAUUGGGUUUUGGAACUGAGGCCAUGAUUAAGAGGGACAGUUGGGGGCAUUCAUAUUGUGUCACUAGGGGUGAAAUUCUUGGACCAGCACAAGAUGGACCAGAGGGAAAGCAUUUGUCAAGAAUGUUUUCAUUCAUCAAGAAUGAAAGUUGCAGGUUCAAAGAUGAUCAGAUACCAUCAUAGUUCCAAACAUAAAUGAUGCAGACUGGUGAUGUGGUGGCGUUAUUCCCAUGACCUGCUGGGCAGCUUCCGGGAAACCAAAGUCUUUGGGUUCUG
rnacentral:ncRNA from 1 species